rnacentral:rRNA from 1 species
AUUGAACGCUGGCGGCAUGCUUUACACAUGCAAGUCGAACGGCAGCGCGGGCUUCGGCCUGGCGGCGAGUGGCGAACGGGUGAGUAAUGCAUCGGAACGUGCCCAGUAGUGGGGGAUAGCCCGGCGAAAGCCGGAUUAAUACCGCAUACGACCUGAGGGUGAAAGCGGGGGACCGAAAGGCCUCGCGCUAUUGGAGCGGCCGAUGUCGGAUUAGCUAGUUGGUGGGGUAAAGGCUUACCAAGGCGACGAUCCGUAGCUGGUCUGAGAGGACGACCAGCCACACUGGGACUGGGACACGGCCCAGACUCCUACGGGAGGCAGCAGUGGGGAAUUUUGGGAAAUGGGGGCAACCCUGAUCCAGCCAUGCCGCGUGCGGGAAGAAGGCCUUCGGGUUGUAAACCGCUUUUGUUCGGGAAGAAAUCCUCUGGGCUAAUACCCCGGGGGGGAUGACGGUACCGGAAGAAUAAGCACCGGCUAACUACGUG